GGGAGCUUGCUCCCGGAUGUUAGCGGCGGACGGGUGAGUAACACGUGGGUAACCUGCCUGUAAGACUGGGAUAACUCCGGGAAACCGGAGCUAAUACCGGAUAGUUCCUUGAACCGCAUGGUUCAAGGAUGAAAGACGGUUUCGGCUGUCACUUACAGAUGGACCCGCGGCGCAUUAGCUAGUUGGUGGGGUAAUGGCUCACCAAGGCGACGAUGCGUAGCCGACCUGAGAGGGUGAUCGGCCACACUGGGACUGAGACACGGCCCAGACUCCUACGGGAGGCAGCAGUAGGGAAUCUUCCGCAAUGGACGAAAGUCUGACGGAGCAACGCCGCGUGAGUGAUGAAGGUUUUCGGAUCGUAAAGCUCUGUUGUUAGGGAAGAACAAGUGCGAGAGUAACUGCUCGCACCUUGACGGUACCUAACCAGAAAGCCACGGCUAACUACGUGCCAGCAGCCGCGGUAAUACGUAGGUGGCAAGCGUUGUCCGGAAUUAUUGGGCGUAAAGGGCUCGCAGGCGGUUUCUUAAGUCUGAUGUGAAAGCCCCCGGCUCAACCGGGGAGGGUCAUUGGAAACUGGGAAACUUGAGUGCAGAAGAGGAGAGUGGAAUUCCACGUGUAGCGGUGAAAUGCGUAGAGAUGUGGAGGAACACCAGUGGCGAAGGCGACUCUCUGGUCUGUAACUGACGCUGAGGAGCGAAAGCGUGGGGAGCGAACAGGAUUAGAUACCCUGGUAGUCCACGCCGUAAACGAUGAGUGCUAAGUGUUAGGGGGUUUCCGCCCCUUAGUGCUGCAGCUAACGCAUUAAGCACUCCGCCUGGGGAGUACGGUCGCAAGACUGAAACUCAAAGGAAUUGACGGGGGCCCGCACAAGCGGUGGAGCAUGUGGUUUAAUUCGAAGCAACGCGAAGAACCUUACCAGGUCUUGACAUCCUCUGACAACCCUAGAGAUAGGGCUUUCCCUUCGGGGACAGAGUGACAGGUGGUGCAUGGUUGUCGUCAGCUCGUGUCGUGAGAUGUUGGGUUAAGUCCCGCAACGAGCGCAACCCUUGAUCUUAGUUGCCAGCAUUCAGUUGGGCACUCUAAGGUGACUGCCGGUGACAAACCGGAGGAAAGGUGGGGAUGACGUCAAAUCAUCAUGCCCCUUAUGACCUGGGCUACCACCGUGCUACAAUGGACAGAACAAAGGGUUGCAAGACCCCAAGGUUUACCAAUCCCAAAAAUCGGUUCUCAGUUCGGAUCCCAGCCUGCAACU
rnacentral:rRNA from 1 species